rnacentral:rRNA from 1 species
UACGUAGGGUGCGAGCGUUAAUCGGAAUUACUGGGCGUAAAGCGUGCGCAGGCGGUUCGUUGUGUCGGCGGUGAAAGCCCCGGGCUCAACCUGGGAAUGGCCGUUGAAACUGGCGAACUGGAGUGUGGCAGAGGGGGGUGGAAUUCCGCGUGUAGCAGUGAAAUGCGUAGAGAUCGGGAGGAACAUCAGUGGCGAAGGCGGCCAUCUGGAUCAACACUGACGCUGAGGCACGAAAGCGUGGGGAGCAAACAGG